GAUGAACGCUAGCUACAGGCUUAACACAUGCAAGUCGAGGGGCAGCAUUUUAGUUUGCUUGCAAACUGAAGAUGGCGACCGGCGCACGGGUGAGUAACACGUAUCCAACCUGCCGAUAACUCCGGGAUAGCCUUUCGAAAGAAAGAUUAAUACCGGAUAGCAUACGAAUAUCGCAUGAUAUUUUUAUUAAAGAAUUUCGGUUAUCGAUGGGGAUGCGUUCCAUUAGUUUGUUGGCGGGGUAACGGCCCACCAAGACUACGAUGGAUAGGGGUUCUGAGAGGAAGGUCCCCCACAUUGGAACUGAGACACGGUCCAAACUCCUACGGGAGGCAGCAGUGAGGAAUAUUGGUCAAUGGGCGCGAGCCUGAACCAGCCAAGUAGCGUGAAGGAUGAAGGCUCUAUGGGUCGUAAACUUCUUUUAUAUGGGAAUAAAGUUUUCCACGUGUGGAAUUUUGUAUGUACCAUAUGAAUAAGGAUCGGCUAACUCCGUGCCAGCAGCCGCGGUAAUACGGAGGAUCCGAGCGUUAUCCGGAUUUAUUGGGUUUAAAGGGAGCGUAGGUGGAUUGUUAAGUCAGUUGUGAAAGUUUGCGGCUCAACCGUAAAAUUGCAGUUGAAACUGGCAGUCUUGAGUACAGUAGAGGUGGGCGGAAUUCGUGGUGUAGCGGUGAAAUGCUUAGAUAUCACGAAGAACUCCGAUUGCGAAGGCAGCUCACUAGACUGUCACUGACACUGAUGCUCGAAAGUGUGGGUAUCAAACAGGAUUAGAUACCCUGGUAGUCCACACAGUAAACGAUGAAUACUCGCUGUUUGCGAUAUACAGUAAGCGGCCAAGCGAAAGCAUUAAGUAUUCCACCUGGGGAGUACGCCGGCAACGGUGAAACUCAAAGGAAUUGACGGGGGCCCGCACAAGCGGAGGAACAUGUGGUUUAAUUCGAUGAUACGCGAGGAACCUUACCCGGGCUUAAAUUGCAACAGAAUAUAUUGGAAACAGUAUAGCCGUAAGGCUGUUGUGAAGGUGCUGCAUGGUUGUCGUCAGCUCGUGCCGUGAGGUGUCGGCUUAAGUGCCAUAACGAGCGCAACCCUUAUCUUUAGUUACUAACAGGUUAUGCUGAGGACUCUAGAGAGACUGCCGUCGUAAGAUGUGAGGAAGGUGGGGAUGACGUCAAAUCAGCACGGCCCUUACGUCCGGGGCUACACACGUGUUACAAUGGGGGGUACAGAAGGCGGCUACCUGGUGACAGGAUGCUAAUCCCAAAAACCUCUCUCAGUUCGGAUCGAAGUCUGCAACCCGACUUCGUGAAGCUGGAUUCGCUAGUAAUCGCGCAUCAGCCAUGGCGCGGUGAAUACGUUCCCGGGCCUUGUACACACCGCCCGUCAAGCCAUGAAAGCCGGGGGUACCUGAAGUACGUAACCGCAAGGAGCGUCCUAGGGU
rnacentral:rRNA from 1 species